CCUGAGUAAGUGCACCCAGUAGGCACGAAACAGGGUUACGUUUUGGAGAAAAAUCACAACCUUUUGUUGUUUCGGAUUUGUGCAGAAAUAUUCAAUAAGUCAUCCUGAAACACUACUUUUUUAAGCACAAUUAUUGUAUAUCUAAAUAAGUAUAAGGCACUGGUACUAAUUUUUUUACACACAAUGUCUCCUUUAAAUUUCAAUUUUCGCGAUAGUUCCCCUUUAAAUAAUGUUUUUUUUUCAAGGGUUAGUCUGCACACUCACAUCCUACUGUGCCUCUGGGCCUUAUAUUCAUGUCUUUCUGUUGGCAGAAUUAGAGGCUGAGAAUCUUUGAUGCACGCAACGGUACAGGAGCCAUACAGGUCAGGGACACAGAGCUUCUGCUGUGGGACAUAAGCAGCUUCAGUCGGCCAUUGACCUCCUUCACUCUGAAUGCUUCAUCCGGACUUCUCAUCCCCCUGUAUGAUGCCGACUCCGGGCUGCUGAUGCUUGGAGCUCAGGAUUAGGACUGACCUCCCGCGCUCCCAGCUGCAUCCUCACCCCUUCACCUCUCUCCAGCCCCUCUCCCAUGUAACUGGAAUUCAUUUGGAAAGUCGCCGAGCUUCUGAUACAUUCCAAGCCCACGGAAAAUAAACUCAGGCCAAACUGUUUACAUAAUACCAACAUUCCUGACCGGUCAGAAACUGGAUCUUCCUCCACACCGGGGGCUACAUACCAUAUACAUGUUCCUGUGGACAUACAGAGUGGGUCUGCCUGCUGUUUACAUUAUUAGUACCCAUAGUAUUUGUAUAAUAGGUAAAUUGUCCUCUAUCACCCAAAGUGGGGGUCAGCAUUGUCAGAACUUUCUU